rnacentral:rRNA from 1 species
UAACGAAUCUUCCGCAAUGGGCGCAAGCCUGACGGAGCGACGCCGCGUGCGGGACGAAGUCCUUCGGGAUGUAAACCGCUUUUCGGGGAAAGGAAACCCGACCGUACCCGGAAUAAGCCACGGCUAACUCUGUGCCAGCAGCCGCGGUAAUACAGAGGUGGCAAGCGUUGCUCGGAAUCACUGGGCUUAAAGGGCAUGUAGGCGGCCGGACAAGCCUCUUGUGAAAUCCCCCGGCUCAACCGGGGAACC